CGGCGGGCUAUACAUGCAAGUCGAGCGGACAGAAGGGAGCUUGCUCCCGGAUGUUAGCGGCGGACGGGUGAGUAACACGUGGGUAACCUGCCUGUAAGACUGGGAUAACUCCGGGAAACCGGAGCUAAUACCGGAUAGUUCCUUGAACCGCAUGGUUCAAGGAUGAAAGACGGUUUCGGCUGUCACUUACAGAUGGACCCGCGGCGCAUUAGCUAGUUGGUGGGGUAAUGGCUCACCAAGGCGACGAUGCGUAGCCGACCUGAGAGGGUGAUCGGCCACACUGGGACUGAGACACGGCCCAGACUCCUACGGGAGGCAGCAGUAGGGAAUCUUCCGAAUGGACGAAAGUCUGACGGAGCAACGCCGCGUGAGUGAUGAAGGUUUUCGGAUCGUAAAGCUCUGUUGUUAGGGAAGAACAAGUGCGAGAGUAACUGCUCGCACCUUGACGGUACCUAACCAGAAAGCCACGGCUAACUACGUGCCAGCAGCCGCGGUAAUACGUAGGUGGCAAGCGUUGUCCGGAAUUAUUGGGCGUAAAGGGCUCGCAGGCGGUUUCUUAAGUCUGAUGUGAAAGCCCCCGGCUCAACCGGGGAGGGUCAUUGGAAACUGGGAAACUUGAGUGCAGAAGAGGAGAGUGGAAUUCCACGUGUAGCGGUGAAAUGCGUAGAGAUGUGGAGGAACACCAGUGGCGAAGGCGACUCUCUGGUCUGUAACUGACGCUGAGGAGCGAAAGCGUGGGGAGCGAACAGGAUUAGAUACCCUGGUAGUCCACGCCGUAAACGAUGAGUGCUAAGUGUUAGGGGGUUUCCGCCCCUUAGUGCUGCAGCUAACGCAUUAAGCACUCCGCCUGGGGAGUACGGUCGCAAGACUGAAACUCAAGGAAUUGACGGGGGCCCGCACAAGCGGUGGAGCAUGGUGGUUUAAUUCGAAGCAACGCGARAACCUUACCAGGUCUUGACAUCCUCUGACACCCUAGAGAUAGGGCUUUCCUUCGGGGAAGAGGACAGGUGGUGCAUGGUGUCGUCAGCUCGUGUCGUGGAUGUGGCUAGUUCCCGCACGGGCACCUUGAACUAGUGCAGCAUUCAGUGGCAUCUAGUGACUGCCGUGACUCUGAGAAGGGGGGAAUGGACGUCAAUCAUUCAGUG
rnacentral:rRNA from 1 species